rnacentral:lncRNA from 1 species
GGGGCUCGUGGGGCCCAGUCUUAGUUUGUCAUGUGGUAUUUUGUAUAUUAUUGUUUUUCUUGGUCCUUUUCUUUUUUAGUCAUGGCUUUUUCAGUUUAUUUUCGACAUAUGCAGUUGGUUGUCCCUUCGGUAUCUUUCGUCUCUCUUCAUCAAAUCAAAGGCAUAGAAGACGAUGCUUCCGACAAUUGCCAUUUCUGAAAUGCUCCUUCAAAUUCUUAUAUAGAUAAUUGAAUGUAGGCGGGUUAAUUAUGGCUCUCAUGAAAGCAC